rnacentral:rRNA from 1 species
GGGAACGUCUAAGGAGACUGCCGGUGACAAACCGGAGGAAGGUGGGGAGUGACGUCAAGUCAUCAUGGCCUUACGGCCAGGGCUACACACGUGCUACAAUGGUCGGUACAAAGGGUUGCCAAGCCGCGAGGUGGAGCUAAUCCCAUAAAACCGAUCGUAGUCCGGAUCGCAGUCUGCAACUCGACUGCGUGAAGUCGGAAUCGCUAGUAAUCGUGAAUCAGAAUGUCACGGUGAAUACGUUCCCGGGCCUU